AAUAAUUAGAUAUGCACAUAAUGGAUAAAUUACAAAUUAAAUAAUAAUAAAAAUACAAAUAAGAUAAUUAACAUAAUGACAACAGAAGAUAUUGAUGACAUAGAACUGAUUUUGGAUGAUCGAGAAUUAUCUGAAUUUGUAGAAAUAAAAAAAAGUAAAAAAUACAUAAUUGGUGACGUGGAUCAAUCUGCGCUGGAGGACGAUUGGGAAGACGAUGUUCCCGACAUGUCGGAAAACUUCGGGAAAUCAAAAUGCGAUAGAUCCAUUUAGCCCUUAUUUUUAUACAUUCUAAUUUAAUUAACACAAUAAAAUUCCGUUGAUUUGGCAGAAUACAUGAGCAAUGAACAAUCUUUAUACUA